rnacentral:sRNA from 1 species
CUCCAAAGUUGCACCAGUUUGCGUAUGUGACAGAUGGAGCUUGUUCAGGAGAUGAAAUUCUCACCAUGGAAUUAAUGAUUAUGAAGGUGGGUUCCAGUGAAUUUUCCAGCCAUUUUUUAAAUGCGUACGGCAGAUCUUUUCCACCUGAAGUGUGAGGUGCUUCUGGGAGGUGUUCUCCAGCUGGACACAUUGUGGCAUGGAAUAUGGCUGCAUUUUGAACUUCUUUUCUCAAUCAUCGGUCUCUUUUCUCUCUGUUUUCCUUUAGGCCCUUAAGUGGCGUUUAAGUCCCCUGACUAUUGUGUCCUGGCUGAAUGUAUACAUGCAGGUUGCAUAUCUAAAUGACUUACAUGAAGUGCUACUGCCGCAGUAUCCCCAGCAAAUCUUUAUACAGAUUGCAGAGCUGUUGGAUCUCUGUGUCCUGGAUGUUGACUGCCUUGAAUUUCCUUAUGGUAUACUUGCUGCUUCGGCCUUGUAUCAUUUCUCGUCAUCUGAAUUGAUGCAAAAGGUUUCAGGGUAUCAGUGGUGCGACAUAGAGAACUGUGUCAAGUGGAUGGUUCCAUUUGCCAUGGUUAUAAGGGAGAUGGGGAGCUCAAAACUGAAGCACUUCAGGGGCGUCGCUGAUGAAGAUGCACACAACAUACAGACCCACAGAGACAGCUUGGAUUUGCUGGACAAAGCCCGAGCAAAGAAAGUCAUGUUGUCUGAACAAAAUAGGGCUUCUCCUCUCCCCAGUGGGCUCCUCACCCCGCCACAGAGCGGUAAGAAGCAGAGCAGCGGGCCGGAAAUGGCGUGACCACCCCAUCUUUCUCCACCAAAGACAGUUGCGCGCCUGCUCCACGUUCUCUUCUGUCUGUUGCAGCGGAGGCGUGCGUUUGCUUUUACAGAUAUCUGAAUGGAAGAGUGUUUCUUCCACAACAGAAGUAUUUCUGUGGAUGGCAUCAAACAGGGCAAAGUGUUUUUUAUUGAAUGCUUAUAGGUUUUUUUAAAUAAGUGGGUCAAGUACACCAGCCACCUCCAGACACCAGUGUGUGCUCCCGAUGCUGCUAUGGAAGGUGCUACUUGACCUGAGGGACUCACACAACAACAAAAGCUUGAAGCUGUGGAGGGCCACGGUGGCGUGGCUCUCCCCACAGGUGUUCCGGGCUGCGUUGUACCAAGUGGAGCAGGUGGUUGCGGGCAAGCAAUGCGCAGAGCCCACAGCCAGCUGGGCAGGGGGCUGCCCUCUCCACAUUAUCAGUUGACAGUGUACAAUGCCUUUGAUGAACUGUUUUGUAAGUGCUGCUAUAUCUAUCCGU